UAGCAGAUGAGGAAAAAGAAAGAGAGCUUCGUACAACUGUUUCAAUGACAAAGAAUGGAUUAGAUUUAAAAUGAUCCUUCCAGUUUAGGCUCAAAUGGUGGUGACAUACUUUCACUGCAUGGGCUGAGAAUGGGUUUAGAAUUGUUUCUUGUAUCAAAAGGUUGUACUGAAAAUUGCCUUGAAAAUAUUUUCUAAAUUGUAGGCCUGAUGAAAAUUCUUUGAGGGAUAUGUUUAUUUAUUUAUUUAUUUAUUUAUUUUUAUCAGACUCCAGUUUUCCAAGGUGAAUAUAAGAACAAAGAAUAUCCAAGGAGCAUCUGGACUCUUCAGACUUGAGAUUCAUAUGCAUUUCAUUUUCUCCAUAUUGGCAGGGUUUGUACGCACACGCGCUUUCCCUGCACCCCAUGCCACAGCAUUGGAAGAACCUCAUUCAACACUUGGUGCAUGAUUGAAAGGAGAUGCUGCCAGAAUAAAAUGAGUCAAAGCACUCA
rnacentral:lncRNA from 1 species